rnacentral:rRNA from 1 species
AAUCAGUGUGUGUGUUAGUGGAAGCGUCUGGAAAGGCGCGCGAUACAGGGUGACAGCCCCGUACACAAAAAUGCACAUGCUGUGAGCUCGAUGAGUAGGGCGGGACACGUGGUAUCCUGUCUGAAUAUGGGGGGACCAUCCUCCAAGGCUAAAUACUCCUGACUGACCGAUAGUGAACCAGUACCGUGAGGGAAAGGCGAAAAGAACCCCGGCGAGGGGAGUGAAAAAGAACCUGAAACCGUGUACGUACAAGCAGUGGGAGCACGCUUAGGCGUGUGACUGCGUACCUUUUGUAUAAUGGGUCAGCGACUUAUAUUCUGUAGCAAGGUUAACCGAAUAGGGGAGCCGAAGGGAAACCGAGUCUUAACUGGGCGUUAAGUUGCAGGGUAUAGACCCGAAACCCGGUGAUCUAGCCAUGGGCAGGUUGAAGGUUGGGUAACACUAACUGGAGGACCGAACCGACUAAUGUUGAAAAAUUAGCGGAUGACUUGUGGCUGGGGGUGAAAGGCCAAUCAAACCGGGAGAUAGCUGGUUCUCCCCGAAAGCUAUUUAGGUAGCGCCUCGUGAAUUCAUCUCCGGGGGUAGAGCACUGUUUCGGCAAGGGGGUCAUCCCGACUUACCAACCCGAUGCAAACUGCGAAUACCGGAGAAUGUUAUCACGGGAGACACACGGCGGGUGCUAACGUCCGUCGUGAAGAGGGAAACAACCCAGACCGCCAGCUAAGGUCCCAAAGUCAUGGUUAAGUGGGAAACGAUGUGGGAAGGCCCAGACAGCCAGGAUGUUGGCUUAGAAGCAGCCAUCAUUUAAAGAAAGCGUAAUAGCUCACUGGUCGAGUCGGCCUGCGCGGAAGAUGUAACGGGGCUAAACCAUG